rnacentral:rRNA from 1 species
GAUGAACGCUGGCGGCGUGCCUAAUACAUGCAAGUCGAGCGAACAGACGAGGAGCUUGCUCCUCUGACGUUAGCGGCGGACGGGUGAGUAACACGUGGAUAACCUACCUAUAAGACUGGGAUAACUUCGGGAAACCGGAGCUAAUACCGGAUAAUAUAUUGAACCGCAUGGUUCAAUAGUGAAAGACGGUUUUGCUGUCACUUAUAGAUGGAUCCGCGCCGCAUUAGCUAGUUGGUAAGGUAACGGCUUACCAAGGCAACGAUGCGUAGCCGACCUGAGAGGGUGAUCGGCCACACUGGAACUGCGCCACGGUCCAGACUCCUACGGGAGGCAGCAGUAGGAAAUCUUCCGCAAGGGGCGAAAGCCUGACGGAGCAACGCCGCGUGAGUGAUGAAGGUCUUCGGAUCGUAAAACUCUGUUAUUAGGGAAGAGCAAAUGUGUAAGUAACUAUGCACGUCUUGACGGUACCUAAUCAGAAAGCCACGGCUAACUACGUG